CAGCGCCACGGGAAUACGUAGGGUGCAAGCGUUAAUCGGAAUUACUGGGCGUAAAGCGUGCGCAGGCGGUUUUGUAAGACAGAGGUGAAAUCCCCGGGCUCAACCUGGGAACUGCCUUUGUGACUGCAAGGCUAGAGUACGGCAGAGGGGGAUGGAAUUCCGCGUGUAGCAGUGAAAUGCGUAGAUAUGCGGAGGAACACCGAUGGCGAAGGCAAUCCCCUGGGCCUGUACUGACGCUCAUGCACGAAAGCGUGGGGAGCAAACAGGAUUAGAUACCCCAGUAGUCCCUGUCUCUUAUACA
rnacentral:rRNA from 1 species